rnacentral:rRNA from 1 species
UUGAACGCUGGCGGCAUGCUUUACACAUGCAAGUCGAACGGCAGCGGGGGCUUCGGCCUGCCGGCGAGUGGCGAACGGGUGAGUAAUGCAUCGGAACGUACCCAGUCGUGGGGGAUAACUACGCGAAAGGAUAGCUAAUACCGCAUACGUCCUGAGGGAGAAAGCGGGGGAUCGCAAGACCUCGCGCGAUUGGAGCGGCCGAUAUCGGAUUAGCUAGUUGGUGAGGUAAAGGCUCACCAAGGCGACGAUCCGUAGCGGGUCUGAGAGGACGACCCGCCACACUGGAACUGAGACACGGUCCAGACUCCUACGGGAGGCAGCAGUGGGGAAUUUUGGACAAUGGGGGAAACCCUGAUCCAGCCAUUCCGCGUGAGUGAAGAAGGCCUUCGGGUUGUAAAGCUCUUUCAGCAGGAACGAAACGGUCGGCUUUAAUAAAGUCGGCUAAUGACGGUACCUGCAGAAGAAGCACCGGCUAACUACGU